AGUGGAGACGGGAUNGUACGCGUGGGAAUUUGCCCAAUAGUACGGAAUAACUGCGGGAAACUGCAGCUAAUACCGUAUACAGCCCUCCGGGGGAAAGAUUGAUCGCUAUUGGAUAAGCCCGCGUCGAAUUAGCUUGUUGGUGANGUAAUGGCUCACCAAGGCGACGAUUCCGUAGCUGGUCUGAGAGGACGAUCAGCAUCACUGGGACUGAGACACGGCCCAGACUCCUACGGGAGGCAGCAGNGGGGAAUAUUGGACAAUGGGCGCAAGCCUGAUCCAGCCAUGCCGCGUGUGUGAA
rnacentral:rRNA from 1 species